UACAGAGACUGCGAGCGUUAUUCGGAUUCACUGGGCGUAAAGGUUGCGUAGGCGGUCGGGUAAGUCUGAUGUGAAAUCUCACAGCUUAACUGUGAAACUGCAUUGGAUACUAUCCGGCUCGUGGAAUGGAGGGGAGACUGGAAUACUUGGUGUAGCAGUGAAAUGCGUAGAUAUCAAGUGGAACACCAGUGGCGAAGGCGAGUCUCUGGACAUUUCCUGACGCUGAGGCACGAAAGCCAGGGGAGCAAACGGG
rnacentral:rRNA from 1 species